UACGGGGGGGGCAAGCGUUGUUCGGAAUUACUGGGCGUAAAGGGCGCGUAGGCGGUUUGUUAAGUUGGAUGUGAAAACUGUGGGCUCAACCCAUAGCCUGCAUCCAAUACUGACAGGCUAGAGUUCUGGAGGGGAUAGCGGAAUUCCUGGUGUAGCGGUGAAAUGCGUAGAUAUCAGGAGGAACACCGGUGGCGAAGGCGGCUAUCUGGACAGAGUCUGACGCUGAGGCGCGAAAGCUAGGGGAGCAAACAGG
rnacentral:rRNA from 1 species